UCGACCCCUGCAAUUACAAAUAGUGUGUCAGGAGAUGAUCAGUAACGUCACAGCUGCUCAACACUACAUACUCAGACUUCCAUGUCUGAUGUGACAAGGGACAAUGGGAGUGACGAGAGCUGGUUUUGUCGCAGUGCUGCUGGCUGUGGCAGUGUAUGCUAAUGAGACUGAUGAGCAUGAUCUACAGUCCCUUAGUAAUCCAAAUGCAAGUGACAGAAAAUUAGAUGAACUGAAUGUUGCAGCAGAACAACUGGCAAAAACCCCCUUGCCAAGAUUACAUGAAUAUGAAGACCAUGCUGAAGUGAAAAUGCAGCAUUUUGCCCUGAGUGCAUCACAUUAUGCUGAGAGAGAGAAGCAGAGUAAAGGAGAAAAGGGAGAAAGAGAAAAGAGAUAAAAAAAGGUAGGAGAGAAGUAAA